rnacentral:rRNA from 1 species
AAACUAACAAGGAUUCCCCUAGUAGCGGCGAGCGAAGCGGGAAGAGCUCAAAUUUAUAAUCUGGCACCUUCGGUGUCCGAGUUGUAAUCUCUAGAAGUGUUUUCCGCGUUGGACCGCACACAAGUCUGUUGGAAUACAGCGGCAUAGUGGUGAGACCCCCGUAUAUGGUGCGGACGCCCAACGCUUUGUGAUACACUUUCGAAGAGUCGAGUUGUUUGGGAAUGCAGCUCAAAUUGGGUGGUAAAUUCCAUCUAAAGCUAAAUAUUGGCGAGAGACCGAUAGCGAACAAGUACCGUGAGGGAAAGAUGAAAAGCACUUUGGAAAGAGAGUUAACAGUACGUGAAAUUGUUGGAAGGGAAACGCUUGAAGUCAGACUUGCUUGCCGAGCAAUCGGUUUGCAGGCCAGCAUCAGUUUUCUGGGGUGGAUAAUGGUAGAGAGAAGGUAGCAGUUUCGGCUGUGUUAUAGCUCUUUGCUGGAUACACCUUGGGGGACUGAGGAACGCAGUGUGCCUUACGGCGGAUUUCUCGAGAUCUUCACACUUAGGAUGCUGGUGGAAUGGCUUUAAACGACCCGUCUUGAAACACGGACCAAGGAGUCUAACAUGCUUGCGAGUAUUUGGGUGUCAAACCCGGAUGCGUAAUGAAAGUGAAUGGAGGUGGGAACCGCAAGGUGCACCAUCGACCGAUCUGGAUUUUUAAUGAUGGAUUUGAGUAA